rnacentral:tRNA from 1 species
GAGGUAAAAACUCAAGUAGUAGAGUAUAUGCCUAAGAAGCACAUGUCCUUGAGUUCAAAUCUCAGUAAAGUCU